rnacentral:rRNA from 1 species
UACGGAGGGGCAAGCGUUGUUCGGAAUUACUGGGCGUAAAGGGCGCGUAGGCGGUGCUCUAAGUCGGAUGUGAAAACUCUGGGCUCAACCCAGAGCCUGCAUCCGAAACUGGAGUGCUAGAGUUCUGGAGGGGUAGCGGAAUUCCUGGUGUAGCGGUGAAAUGCGUAGAUAUCAGGAGGAACACCGGUGGCGAAGGCGGCUACCUGGACAGAAACUGACGCUGAGGCGCGAAAGCUAGGGGAGCAAACAGG